rnacentral:rRNA from 2 species
UACGUAGGGGGCAAGCGUUAUCCGGAAUCAUUGGGCGUAAAGGGUGCGUAGGCUGCCCUAUAGGUCAGAGGUCAAAGGCUACGGCUCAACCGUAGUAAGCCUUUGAAACUGUAGGGCUUGAGUGCAGGAGAGGAGAGUGGAAUUCCUAGUGUAGCGGUGAAAUGCGUAGAUAUUAGGAGGAACACCAGUGGCGAAGGCGACUCUCUGGACUGCAACUGACGCUGAGGCACGAAAGCGUGGGUAGCGAACAGG